CCAAUAGCGUAUAUUAAAGUUGUUGCAGUUAAAAAGCUCGUAGUUGAAUUUCGGGAUUGACACAUCGGUCGUGCCUUAAGGGGUAUGAACUGGUGUAGUCAAUUUCUCACCUUCUGGAGAACCGCGAUGUCCUUAAUUGGGUGCCGCGGGGAACCAGGACCUUUACUUUGAAAAAAUUAGAGUGUUUAAAGCAGGCAUUUUUGCUUGAAUACAGUAGCAUGGAAUAAUAAAAUAGGACGGCAUGGUUCUAUUUUGUUGGUUUCUAGGACCACCGUAAUGAUUAAUAGGGAUAGUUGGGGGCAUUAGUAUUCAAUUGUCAGAGGUGAAAUUCUUGGAUUUAUUGAAGACUAACUACUGCGAAAGCAUUUGCCAAGGAUGUUUUCAUUAAUCAAGAACGAAAGUUAGGGGAUCGAAGACGAUCAGAUACCGUCGUAGUCUUAACCAUAAACUAUGCCGACUAGGAAUCAGACGAUGUUAAUUUUUUAAUGACUCGUUUGGCACCUUAC
rnacentral:rRNA from 1 species